AGGGAACAGUGGGUAACAAGGAGGAGUGAUAGCAAGGAGCACAGGUUAGUAUGCCAGAGUGCCAGUAGGAGAAAUCAGGAAGUAACUCACUUCAAGGGCAGGAGAGAAAAGAGGGUUCGAUGGAGUUAGAAGGGAAAAGGUUAUACGGUCAGCUACUUCUCAAUGUCUGGUGGAGUUCCAGCUCACUGGCACUGAGGAAAUGCAGGCUCCCCGUCUCCACCAGCAUCAUGUUCCAUCGCCCAGUGAACAGGUGGGCGAGAGAGUUGAUAGAAGGAGCAGACGAUUUCACUCAUUCAGCAUAAACAACUUCAGACGCCUUAUCUUCUUCAGGUCCUUCGAGGUCCUCUGAAGUCUUUGGUGUUCAAUUGAGAACUCAAGUCGUAAUCCUCCUCCACGUUUAAGAAGAACAAAAUACAUCUUUGCAUUUUGCAGAAACACUUACUAAGAUUAAACAUAGUGAUCUUUUAUGAUUACUUUAAUUACA